rfam:Prevotella sp. CAG:617 genomic scaffold, scf58
GGGCCUGACUGGAUUUGACAGCGAGUCGAAGGGGUAUGUAAGCAUGCAGUGCAAUGUAGUGAGCACUAUAAUCUUAUAUGCAAAAAAUUUAACUGGCGAAAAUAAAUAUGCUCUCGCUGCUUAAUUGAAGUAUAGUAGAUUAGCUUUAUUCCUGCACCAGGUGUAGGAACGAGACAUCACCCAAGAGCCGUCGUCCCGAGGCGUCUUGAUCCGGUGGUGCAGAUAAAUCGGGAAUAGUCAAGGGCAGCCUCGUGCCUGCGAUGAAAUUUUUAGAGGCUAAGGUCUUGGUUGGUAGUCCCGGUCUUGCCAAGAUUCGAAAACCAAAGCGGGAAUAAGCAUGUAGAAAGCAUAUUGUUUCCUCGUUUGGACGAGGGUUCGAAUCCCUCCAGGUCCACUU